GUAGGGAAUCUUCCGCAAUGGACGCAAGUCUGACGGAGCAACGCCGCGUGAGUGACGAAGGUUUUCGGAUCGUAAAACUCUGUUGUGAGGGAAGAACACGUACCAACUAACUAUUGGUACCUUGACGGUACCUCACCAGAAAGCCACGGCUAACUACGUGCCAGCAGCCGCGGUAAUACGUAGGUGGCAAGCGUUGUCCGGAAUUAUUGGGCGUAAAGCGCGCGCAGGCGGUUCCUUAAGUCUGAUGUGAAAGCCCACGGCUCAACCGUGGAAGGUCAUUGGAAACUGGGGAACUUGAGUGCAGAAGAGGAAAGUGGAAUUCCACGUGUAGCGGUGAAAUGCGUAGAGAUGUGGAGGAACACCAGUGGCGAAGGCGACUUUCUGGUCUGUAACUGACGCUGAGGCGCGAAAGCGUGGGGAGCAAACAGGAUUAGAUACCCGAGUAGUCC
rnacentral:rRNA from 1 species